rnacentral:tRNA from 4 species
GGCUAUGUAGCUCAGUUGGUUAGAGCACAGCACUCAUAAUGCUGGGGUCGCAAGUUCGAGUCUCGCCAUAGCCACCA